rnacentral:rRNA from 1 species
UACGGGGGGAGCAAGCGUUGUUCGGAUUUACUGGGCGUAAAGGGCGCGUAGGCGGCCAGCGCAAGUCAGUUGUGAAAUCUCCGAGCUUAACUCGGAAAGGUCAACUGAUACUGCGCGGCUAGAGUGCGGAAGGGGCAACUGGAAUUCUUGGUGUAGCGGUGAAAUGCGUAGAUAUCAAGAGGAACACCUGCGGCGAAGGCGGGUUGCUGGGCCGACACUGACGCUGAGGCGCGAAAGCUAGGGGAGCGAACGGG